GACGCGGAAAGAGAAAGGAUACAAGAAAUAGAGGAAGAGGAAUAUAUACGACGGAAAGGGAGUUAUAUAUGUAGGAAUGCGGAUUUAGGGAAUCGAAUCGCGGCAUCUAGCCUGCCCGAACAAACGCUACAUUCUUAUCGAAAGACGUACAAAGUGAGAAGAAUGGAUAGAGACGAUACGUGUGAUUGCGCUCAUUUCGCGCUCUAUUCAAAGACGCCGGAUUUACGCGAGAGACGAGAGAGAGAGAGAGAGAGAGAGAGAGCGAGAGAUAAGUAUAGUGACGCUGCUCGCGGACAGGGAAACGCGAGCGAGGAGGGAUUCGCGAAUCGGAAGCGAACGUCGGUAUCGAAGGGGGAAAUGAUCGCGCGGAUAUUGCCACGGAAUGCGUACUCCGCGUCUCUCGAGUUCCCCGAUGAAGUUUUACGGAAUACGAAAAAAAAAAAAAGAAAAAAGAAAAGAAAAGAAAUCUCUGUAGUGUCUCCUCGUCCCCCGACGAUAAACGUCGACAUUCAAUGGAUUUAUCGAAUUCCCAUCUUUGCCCAUCUUCCCCUCCCCCCCCCCUCUUCCCCUCCCCCCUACAACCCCUCCGCAUCCGUUCCCCACCUCCGUCGCCGAUCCCGUAAGUGAUGUAAUUAAUGUACGUUGCCUAAUGAUUGUUAUACUGAAACGUUAGAACGACGAAGAAAUUUUAUCGAGUGCGCUACUGGAGAGCGGUUUUGUUUUUCUCAUCGUCGGCGACUGGCGGUGCCGGCGCCAUGUCCGUCGAUCGCACUGCGGUCUUUCCGCUGCCAACCGCUUUCGCGAGAGCCGUUUUGCUUCGAGGUCCUCGCGACGAGGGAGACCAAGCAGGGAUGUCCCGGCGAGUCCGGAGACACACCCCCGAGAGAAAGGGAUGCGUCCGCGAGACAAGGCAAGGGCAUCGUUCGCCGACGUCAUAAAUAGUACACACACCGGCUGUCUUUCACGUUCUACGAUUGAAGAAGCCGAGCUCUCGAUCCCCCCCCACUCCCCCCCCCCACCGAGGUGAGAUUUCGCGAACGAAUUAUCGCAAGAUAAUUUGGUCGAUAACGCGGCGACGUAACGCGGCUGCUAAGACGUGAAUGGAAAUGUAACGCGUUUUUCAAGUGGGAGGCAGAACGCGCUUAGCUCAAGUGGGUUCUCUAUCAAGAAGCGGGCCGAAAUUUUGUGCGGGAUUUUUCAAACGAAUGCUGGGGGGGGGGGGCUCGGCCGUAAGCGAGUCGAUUGGAUACGUUGGCCAAGGUACAAAUGUACAUAGGAGCAUAAUGUUGUUAUUAACGUAUAACGCCAUCUCGCCUCUGCGUGUCUCUCUGUGAGCUGCAAUUUAAAGAUAUCGUAAAGUUGAAUAUGGGGGGGGGGGGAAGAUGGAUUCUCUUAAUUGAUAGCGUUUGCGACAUUAUUAUUUUAUACUGUAGCGAUGAGUUCAGUAUCUUACGUUACGUAACAUUUCUUUUUUAUAUUCGUACUCUUUUCUUUUUCUGCACAUAAUCUCGCCAUAUUGAAAAUUCUGUGUAUUACAGCUUUUACAAAAUAUAGGAUAGAAUAUAAACAACCAAAUCGUUUAAUCGUGUUUUCUUCAUUUUAUUUAAGUCUGCGAAUGAGUUUAUUCGUGAUGAGUUUAAGAGAGAGAUUUCUCUCCUUGCUCUAAAGAAUAUGUUUAAAUUAAAAAAAACCUUAUUAGAAACAAAACGAGGUACAAGUUUAGGUAGGUGUCGUCGUAUCCGUCUAUUAUUUCACCUAAUAAAACAUUUCAAAAAAUCUCUAUAUAAAAGUUCACAGGCAUACUUUUAACUUUCCAAAAGAAAUAUUUAAACUCCAUUUUGGAAAAUAAUAAAAUACAGUGUAUAAUUCAAUAAAUUGAAUUUGCGAAAAAUUUACAUGAAAGGAGAGUCGGAUACGAAAUAUACUCGGAACAGUACUGUAAAGGUUAAUAUGCGUAAUGAUCGUGCCAACGAAUUAUUUAGAAUGCAGCAGGUGAGAGAAAUAUAACUCGCGACGGAGGUGCGUUGUCCUAUCAAUUGAAUCGACUGCUGACGUUUUAGUCGGUCCGAUUUGUCAAGGAUUCGCGAUCCGAGUCUGAACUCAUCGCUUUGGUAUCGCGCGAUGUCGGCGCUUGGCCUAAAACGAUCCCGCUGACAUUUAUCCGCUGACGGAAUAAACGUGGAGGACACGCGGAGACGGGAGAAUGGAAAUUCGUGAAGGACGAAAACAUGAAUAAAAAGCAAAUCGAUACGCAGGAUUGCGACAUUUGACGGAAGUGUAAAGACAAUUGGUUCACUGCUCGGCGUAUUGGCGCAUUUCCCGAGAAUCAAUUUCUCGCUCGCAACCUUCCCACGACCCUUUUCUUCUCUCUUUUCCCUACCCAUCUUUCUCUCGCGAGCCGUGAGCCAAUCGAAACUUUACAGAUUUCAGGAAACAGAUCGACGAUAAAUCACGCACGAGCGCACUGCGAAAUCGCAACUUCGUAAUCAACGACGGAUAGUCGCGCACUUCUGAGACAGAAUUUUUUUCUCUUCCUUUUCUUUUUGAUCUUCAUUUUUUUUUCUCACAUCGGAUUCUUCACGCAGCUUGCCGCGAAAGAUCACGCGUGGGCGGUACACGCGUUGUCUUUGGCGCACAAGCUCGCUGCGAGGACGCGCGAAUAAUACGCGUAAUUAAGAAUUUAACGGGAUACACCCGCUAAUUAAUCGCUAGUUCGUAGGUUCCCCCUUCCCUCCCGUUAUACCAAAAGUACCCGUUUGCAACCAAUUUCCUUAGGAUAUUAACCGAUGUCUGAAUGGUGUAUGGAUGUGCUACUCCCUAUUCGUGCAUUUAAUCGCACUUGUAGCGUGUAUAUAUAUAUUUAUAUAUAUAUAUAUACACAUAAAAUACACAUAUAUACGUAUACCCCUUUAAGCCCACCCCGUAUAAUCCCCAAGUCAGUAGACUUAUAUAAAGCGUCAUCUGUGUAAACAGCGUCGUGUCGAAUUUGUAUUUGUAAGCGUAGUCAUUGCUGGAGAACCAUUCGCGCCCGUCGUCUUGAUCAUGAAGAACCUCCAGCACUCUAAUAAUUAACAGGUACGCGUGAUGGGUCUUUAAUUAAGCCCGGUGACAACUUUCCAAGUUCUCCUGUAGACGGAUCGUUAUUCGACUCGGUGCAGAAAAGUUUCGCUCUCGGCCUUAAAUCGGAUCAUCCGCAUGCGAAGGUGGGAUGGAUCGCCACGAUCGGGAAUAAGAUGCUGGAUUUUUCUAGCGUAGUCGACGCUCUUUUACGUGCGACUUGCGCGAAUGGUACCAUUUCGAGUAACUAACGUUUAGUCCACCGAUAUACGCUUCGCGAAACGCGCGGCGCAAUCGAUUCAUAAAUAUGCCGCUCCCAAGGCAAAUGAUGACAUAAAACAACGUCGACGGUAACGAAUGUACGUUCUUCGAUGUAUACGUACGUAAGGUACCCGCGUAAGACUGCGACGUACAUUUCUUGUCGUCUUUAAGAAGGGAAGAUCCGCGUUGUCACUGUAAAUCAACACCAAUCGCGACAGUAAUGCCGAUCCGACUGCGGCGAACUUCGUAAUAUUUGCGUCUUUACAAUUAGUAUAGUUAGCGGACGCGCGAAAAUAAAGGGGAAAAGGAAACAGAAAAAAAGAAUCCGCGAAACGAAAUUUGGCCGAGAGAGAGAGAGAGAGAGAGAGAGAGAGAGAGAGAGGAGAGAUCGCGCGAAUUGAUCGACAUACGCUCUCGUAGUCGUCGCGCUUUUAGUGGGGGCUAAGUUCACGGUGGAUCUUAAGGGUAGACUUCUUUUUUACAAAAUGAAAAUUAAAAAAAAAACGUAGCGUUCCUCGAGCGAACGCGGAUCAGGCGCUAAAAAUUAAGAUUCUCGAUAUAAGUUUCUUAGAGGUAAUUCGGGCAUUUUUAUUCGGCUGUGUUAUAAAAAAAAAAAAAAUUAAUAAAUACGCGAAGGAGCGACUUUUAGAUUCGGUAAGAUCUCACAAAUUUAGAUGAAUAAUUUUUGUACCCUAUUUUUUUAAGCGAUCGCCACGUCGGUCACGCGUAGAGACGGAAAGAAGGGUCGUGUGGAAAAAUUAACACGGUAGUAUUUAUCAAAAUUAAGACGUCGUUAAGUUUAGUUUAAGACAAGCAAUUCGUCGGCAAUUUCGAAAACGCGCUGCACUACGUUGUAAUAGUAUCGAGUAUAGAUAUCGAGAAGGGUUCGGGAGUAAUCGAAGAUUCGCCUCUGCUUAGCCCUUCUGAUACGGACAGAGAUCGAUAAACCUUUCCGUAAACAAGGGAUGAAGAACCGAAAAACGUAAACUGAAUAAAAAUUGAACAAAAAUAGAGCGCUACGAGAUCGCUACGAUCGUGCCGCAUCGAAACGAUCUUCUGAGAAAGCUAGUCCCUGCCCGAUGAUCCGCUCGGGCACGAUCGAUCGCGAACGCGAGACACACUCGAACGUGAUCGUUUGCAGGGUGUGUCGUCGGUGUAACCUUGAUAAGUAAUCCCGUAUAGGUAUGUAGAGUAUGCUCCUCCAUAAUCACACUUUUGUUCCGCCCUCGUGUCGGAGCGAGGACGCGGAUGCGGCAAGACCUCGUUCGGAGGCCGCGCGUAGUUUUAGACACUUAGCCGUAUUACUUAGUUAUUAAGUGAAACGAGAGGAGAGAAACCGAUCGGACGGCAGGCAUGGAAGCAAUCCAAAAAAAAAAAAAAAGAAAUCAUAGUAGACACAAGCAUUUUGCGAUGCAAAAGCGAAUAAUCAUGCUGGUAGUGCGGACCAAACGGGACAACCAAACGGGAAGUUUGUGGAAAGGGGUGAAAGGUGACGAAAGGUCUGGUGUUUUUCUACGGAAGGAAGCGAAAGAGAAAGAGAGAGAGAGAGAGAGAGAGAGAGAGAGAGAGGGAGGUGAAGUGGACGCGUAAAAAAAAAAAAAAAAUUGCCGCUCUCCAUCGGAGAUCAACAUCCGAUAUCAUUUGUAGUGAGAUUAAACUUAUAGAGUUUAAGGCAUAGCGAGGACUUCUGAUGACUGCGCGUGCACUUCGAGACAUUUUAUAUUUCUUUCUUUCUUACGUUCACGUACUCGGUAUUACAUUGUGUCUCAUUUCUUUUUGUUUUAUCGCAUAUCGAACAGAGAUUACAACAGAAAUUUUCAUGAUUCUUUAAAAUGUGAGCCAAAGGAAGCUUAUAAUUCCCAAAAUUGUCAAUUAUCAUGAAGCUAAACAGCAAAAGUUUGUAGCUUGUACUUUGAAGAAAGUGUCGAUGAUAAAGCUUACGAUCGGCUUAUUUGUAAUAUAAUUUCAUAUAAUCGUGAAAUAGAACGAGAGAUAAAAUUAAAUUAAAUUAACCGCGCCGGUUCUCUCUUAUUUAUCAUUUCGUUAUUCGAUUAUCCGCUUUUCUUAAAUGUUGCAUUUUACGACGAACGUCAUCCACGGAAAUCAAGAUUCGUUCGUGUUUUCUCGAAGUCGUUACUGUGACGAACUGUAAUUGGCUACGCGUUUGACGGAUAUAUACAGCUAGUGAACACUUAAGGACAGUCUAACGUUUCUUUACCGUACCGCUGUCGACUUCGUCGUCAUUGGAGUCCCGGUUAACGAGUGAAUUCUUUCCAUUCCGCGUGCAAUCGAGACUUCGAACGACGUAAACGUCCCUGUCUUCUGGAACAUCGCGCACCAGACUUCUUUCCGAUUUCCUGUUUUUAUCUCCCAUCGCGGACGUUCAGAUCUAUUUCUUUUUUUCCCGAGGGCGGUGAGAGGAGAAGAGAAAAAAAAAAGAGACGAAGGGGACGGAGAGGAAAAAAAGAAGCGAGAUGGCUACGAACGAUAAAAAGGAUGAAAGGAACGAAGGGAACAGUGAAUUGCGAUAGCCUUUCCAUGUCUUACUGCCCUGCCCUAUGACUCUCGUUCGCCUUCCUACGAUAUUCGGUCGAGAAGAGAGA